rnacentral:rRNA from 1 species
AAUAGAUACCCGGGUAGUCCACGCCGUAAACGAUGAAUGCUAGGUGUCAGGGGCGUAAGAGCCCUUGGUGCCGAAGUUAACACAUUAAGCAUUCCGCCUGGGGAGUACGGUCGCAAGACUGAAACUCAAAGGAAUUGACGGGGACCCGCACAAGCAGUGGAGCAUGUGGUUUAAUUCGAAGCAACGCGAAGAACCUUACCAGGUCUUGACAUCCCUCUGACCGGUCUAGAGAUAGGCCUUUCCUUCGGGACAGAGGAGACAGGUGGUGCAUGGUUGUCGUCAGCCCGUGUCGUGAGAUGUUGGGUUAAGUCCCGCAACGAGCGCAACCCUUGAAUCCAGUUGCCAGCACGUUGGGGUGGGCACUUUGGAUUGACUGCCGGUGACAAACCGGAGGAAGGUGGGGAUGACGUCAAAUCAUCAUGCCCCUUAUGACCUGGGCUACACACGUGCUACAAUGGCCGGUACAACGGGCUUGCGAAGCGGUGACGCGGAGCGAAUCCUUCAAAGCCGGUCUCAGUUCGGAUUGCAGGCUGCAACG